UCAAAAAAGCCAAAAUGAUAGAAAUACUCUCUCUUCCCCUACAGAAAAUCUUGCUGCGCUGAAGGAUGGGUGACACGUGGGUGAUCUGGAUUCAGCCCUGAGACUUCUGCCGGGACGUUGCCUGUGCACACGUGAUGGCUUCCACAGCCUACAGAAGGGUGAUGAAGAUGCUCUCUCAGGUUGGACACCACCCCCUUCCCCAAUAAUAAUCGCCAGUUCCAGGCUUACUUCUACCUCCAAAAGCAACAGAAAUUACAGACUAGUCAAGUCUGUCUUGGCAAAGGCUAUGCUGGAUCAACCAUCACUUUGGAAGGAGUAAGGAAUGAGCGCUGUGGCAAUGCACUGAGCUCUGAAAAACAGCUCAGGAUUCAAGUGGCUACUUCUCAAGAGAUUAGAUCAAGCAGUAUAAAACAAAUUCAUUGGAAACACCACAGGUGCUUCCUUGCCCUCCACCUGCCUCCGUCCGGAAAGAAGGAAUAUUAUAUUCACCUUGCAUCAAGUUGUCUCCUGGGCUCCUGUGUUUCAGGCUGCAGUAAAAGUUGGUCUUGGCUUGCUCUCAACUUCCUCCUGCUCGGCUGGAAAAAGAGCAGGACCGACUAUGAGACCGUUGCGGUUACUUUUGCAGAAGGUCUCUUCAGCAGCCAGGGUAGGGAGCAGGGCCUCUACGCUGCUGAGGACUAACUCAAGAGCUGUGUCUUCAGAAUUUUGGUCAUCGCUGUAGCCUGCAAAACCUGCCAAGCCUUUGGGAACCCCCUCCCCUCCCACAACCAAAUCCCCAAACUUAAUGCUACUGCAGGACUGGGAAGGUCGCCCCCACAGGCUCAUACUGCAAUCCCGAGUACAGGGCCUGGAAGACUCUCCCACUGAAAAAGCCCUUCCUUCCUCAGGCUCUGAUCCUGGCUUGUCCUUCACAGAAGAGGCUUUUUUCCUGUGGCUGUGACAAGGCAGCCGGGCAGCUGUGGACGCUGUGAUGAAACUGCUCAGCCUGCUGAGAGCGGCACAGAGCUAGGAGAGAGCUGGUGCUCCGCAGAGUCAGCAGGAGAGAUAAAGGAAAGCAAAAUCACUGCCCUUUAUGAGGCUGGAGCUUUUUCUUCACCUAGGGAGAGAAGCAGCUUUAUAUUUCACCCCUCACAUACCUGGAAACAAAUAAGUAGAGGUCUGAAUGUUUUUGUCACAGGUCGCCAUCCGUGAGGCUGGCUGAUUAUAUGAUGAAACACAUGCCGGCACUACAGUAUCGUGAACCUUUAAUCUGCCACCUCAGCAUUCACUCUCUGAAAUAACCAGCAGGAAAAUAAGGGUGUAGCAAUUCCCCCUAGCAUUAACAGCAGCAGCGGUGAUUUACAUGGUGCCCUGAAAAAGAGGCUCUUCAACGAAGCGUCAGCUCGGGGAGUUAUUCCACCAUUACGACCCUUUCUCAGUUCUGCUGCGUGCUCUGGUGUUGUCUAGAAAACGCACGCGCCAACCGGUAAAUUCCCUGGCGGGAAUCUCGUGGAUGACAGGCCGAGAGCAACAAACGCGUUUUGAUUCGGCAGCCCUCUAAACGCUUCUCUUUUCCUACUUCCCUGGAGCACAGAACAGAGCUCACGGAAGUAACACUUCCCGUAAGAGCAGAUCGCUCUCCCUCCAGCUCCGCUAACUGAAUUUUGCCUGCUUCUUUCCGGACUUUCCACGGUAGGCGCGCUCCGCGUCGCCGAUGGGCAC
ensembl:lncRNA